GCUCUACAGGUUGUCGGGAGAAAAGCAGCAACAAUUAACUUUCCUCCCUUCACUGAGCCGGUCCAUGUACGCGCUCUUCCCACUGCAGACAGCCAGUCUGCAGCAGCGGCACGUGACCAACACUCCUCCCCGCUGACCUGCAAGCACCACACCUGCCACGUCCAUCUUGGCCCACAGGCUUGGCCCACCACGUUCUGGACUCUGAUGACAGGCGGAUGAGUGGGCUAACUCAAGUAGAAACAGAGCUGACCCACUCCUGCCUUCUUUGACUUCCACCAUAAUUCACAUCUAACCUGCCACAGUCCUGACUACACACCACCGCAGUCACAUGGCACGUUUGCCUUAUCUGCUAAACCAGGAGCUCUGAGGGGCAAUGAGCUACUGUGGUCAUUUCUGAAGGCCCCAAAAAGGUGUGCAAGAAAGGUCAACUGAAUGAUGGCUCCAUUCCCAUGUCCCUCUGGCUGACAGCUUUGUACCAGGAAAAUGAACAGAGUUCCUUAAUGUCUGGAGACAAUUCUUUACCUUGACUGACUUUGCUGAAAUAAAUCUGACCCACACCUGCCCAUUCCUGAAGUGGCAUGGCUGACAGAAA